rnacentral:misc_RNA from 1 species
UACCGAUAUGCGUUUGUCAGAGUGAGGGGCAGAGACCAUGGGCGUUCACUUAGGAAAGGCUAGUCUCAUCGACCUAACAACCAGGCACAGUUAAAGUACAACGACAGACUUCGAUUAUCUGUUGUGUUGGUGGUAUGGAUUACGGGUUAGCCUCCGCGUUAAAGGAACAGGUUCCGCAGUGAUUGUGGAUAGCCUUUGUAUACAUUGUACAAGGAUUGUCGUGGCUUGAGGAGAGGACACAAGGAACGUUACAGGUAAUGUGUAUGGGACAGGUAUUGGAAUCGGGACACUUCGACACUGGCUGUACUACAAGGUUGUGGCCUGAGACCCUUUGAAUUCAUCGUGUCGUGCGUUUUAAUGCGUAUGAGCGGGUGUGUAGGUACACUGCACGUGGGUGUAACCGAUCACAACGUCACAACGGUGGUUCGAUGUUUGAGAGCCUGAGAUAAGACACCUGAACUUGUUUACUUUACGGUUUCAUGCACUGUGUCCUUUGAAGAUCGAACUGUAGAAAUACUGACAAGAAGAUAAUAUGUGGCAUACCUUCCACAAUGACAACACACAAUGGGAACAAUGGCAGCAGAACAUGGGCAUUGUGAUUCCAGGAGGUCUAUAACAGUGGAAUAACUCACACGACGACCGAGAUAAUGACUCAACUGUUAACAGCAAAUCAGUGGACUUUCCUCAGCGUGUCAUGAAUUGCAAUAUGGACAUAUGCUAUAAAUCCCGCGGAUCUGGGUAAUCACAUUAUUCACGAGAAUAUUAACCCAAUCAUUCAGCUCAGUAAAUAUGGUUUCACGGAAUCAACAAAAGCGCCUAGUUCUUAUCGUAAUCCUGAAUGUGUGUUGACAUUCUUAUAUUGGAUUUCAUGAAAACCAGGACCGGAGGAAAUGUGCUUGAGUUAUAUACCAACUGUGUAAUAUUGUAAGUGGAACGUAAGGCGAGGUUUCUUUUGGUAAACUGCGUUCGUUCAAGAAAUCGUGAGGAACAUCAACAUUAACGCGACAGUUAUGGCAUUUAUAGUGCAACAAUUUUCACUGUUCGCAGCAAUGGAGUCUAGCAUGACAUGAUUUACGUCUCAUAGCCUCAAGAUAUGUCAAAUGAUCUUCAUAGGUGCACAAUCGGGUAGUAUAGCUAAUAACCGAGUCAUAUCUACAAUCAAACCAAAGGACUACCUCCAAUCUUUAUUUAUUGAUCUUCCUUCUUUACUGCCCAAUUCUAGCGUAAAAUAGGCUCACGCGAAGUUUCAAUAAAACAAAUCAAGCGAUACACUGAGGUCGAAGCUUGUGGCUGUGGCCAGUGAGAUUACCUGUGAAGCACUGAGAGAUUAAGGGAUUACGGCGUAUAUCCUGGACAUGACAUGCCGCCAAAAGCCGGAGACAAGCUGGUGGGUGUGAGGAGGGAACGCACUCAAAAUGGCACAAACGUCACAAGGAAACCAGAGAAAAAUCACUUUGGCGCCUGGGAAGCCCCAGUCCCUGAUGAUGACAUGGGAAUUGUAUCCUGGAUGAAAUUCAGCGACGGCCAUGGAAUGAAGCCAGGUAGUGUCGAUGAUGAGGAUGACUUUUCGAGGAUACGACAAAAUGGAUUUUCUAUGUGUCCAUCAAUUGAAGAUUCUAGAGUAUUUGAACUACAAAGUCUGCAUGAUAGAUUUAAGAAAUCAUCAUGUCAAUUCACUUUAAACGACAACCACGAGAAAAAGCCCCUAGUCCGCCGCAACCCCCAAUCCCAGUUCCUUCAAAGACUACAGAGAAUGUCCCCGAGGUCCCUAAGCAGAAACCUCACGUUGAAGGUGUCAGGCGUGUUUGUAAGAGUGCCAUACCUACACACCAAUCAAAUGUUUUGACGUCAGAGGAGAAGGAGGAGCUUGCUGCAGUGGACAAUAUCUCACUUCCGGCUCGGGGUUGCAGUUCUGACGGUCAAUCCCAGUCAACGACAAACGCCGCGGAUCUCGCAGAGAGUAAAACUAAAGUGAAAAAGCUGAUGGGUCUCGCUCAGAAAUAUAUGACCAAGGAUGAUAAGGCUCGUGAUGAAGGAGAAGAUUUCAAUGAUGAAGGAUAUGAUUCUAAAAUAUCCAACGAAGCGGAAGGAGUAGAGGAAUGGAAGAAUAUGGAAGAGGUGUUACUUGCGCGGGAAAAGUCUCUAGGAGAGACGUAUGGGGAAGAAGAAGGUCCCAAUCAGAUGAACACAUUUCAGUGGGUCAGGGAUCCAGGUGGAAUGUCCCCAGGGAGAAUAGUUAAAUUGUCUUACGCCCAAAGAGAAAAAACGUUCUAUAGUUUAAAUGGUGAUAAAUUUGAGUCUUUGUGUAGAACUUUAAGCAAACAGAAUACUGGGAACAAUUUCAGGGGCAUAAUGGCUGCAAGUCUUAGUAACCUCUCUCCAAGCUCACUGAACAUGCGCCAUUUUAGAGAGGCGGGGAAUUUGCAUCUUCUAAAUUAUGGCGUGGCAGGAACACCGAGAUGGGGUUACGAAAAUAACAGUCGGGGUAACUUUUUGCCAGCUCAGGGUGAUGGUGAUUCAAAACCCAUGAUUCUCAGGAAAGUGACAAUACAGGAUGCUAACUGUGAGGGUAGUGGAGGUGGCGAUACCAACUCAUCCCCAGAAACACAAACGGCGGAAACACCCGAGUUGAAGCGAACAGACACGACGCUGAAUAGGGAGCGAUCGAAAGUUCAAGUUAAUCACACGUCGCCUCAGCUGACAAUAGACUCCACCAAAAUCAACAGAAAUGUGUCUAUACCCUCACCCCAGCAGUAUAGGCACAUCAGCAGUAGGGUUUCUGCAAGAAGGGGUGAUUUACGGACUCCAAAAUAUGACCCUCGGGAUUACAUACUUACCGAUAACGCCUCUAGUUCUCAUAUUCCUAUCGGGGAUUUGUUACCCGCGGUGGAAAAGAGUAUCCAGCAGACUCAUUCUCAGAGAGGUAGACGAUGUCCUGCUGAUGACGCCUCACAAGCUUACCCUUCACUCUCGGAGGAGGAGAGAGCCAUCCUCAUCAAACGUGAUGUGGCUGCACUGGCUGCCACCUAUGAUCCGCCUCACGGUCCUCCGGCGUUCCGACCCCUCCAAACCAGGUCUCCUCUACAACGUGCCAAAGAAAUAUCAAAUAAGAGACUUCACGGACAUGUUACACAAAACCCAGAUGGUACAGAAACAGUUCGUGUCGCCUCUCCCCGGUAUCAAACAAGAAUGCCUCACAGACGAAUAGGGUCUUCUACAGGGAAACUAAGGGUAAAACUGGCCCUGUUUGGAUCAGUAACAAAACUACAGGACAGGAUGUCCGCCCGAAGCUCAGCGUGGAAAGGAAGCCGUUGUUACUCCUCGGUCACCUAAACAGGAUAGAGUUCCUAGACUCCUAUUGUCUAAGUCGAAAAAUGUUCAAGGGGCUUUCUAAGCAGAGUUAUCAGCGGUCCAUUCAAGCGGAAGUGUUAGAUGACUGAAUCCCGGAAGUGAUUAAACAAGCAUAUAUUCGUCAGAAAGGACGCUGCCAUGUGUAUGGGAUGUUUCGGUGAAAUUUGGUAAUUUGAUGAUCAGUAUUAUGAUAUCAUGAUACCCAAAGAUUUGACCCCAAAAUGACGAGUAAGCUAGACUACCUCUUUAAGAUAAACUAUACUUUGAUGUCUAAAAUCAACCGCCUGUUGUAACUAGACAUUUUUGCAUUUUAUAUCUGAGAUACGCAUUCACAUUUUCAAGCCAGAGUUCAAAGUUACCCAAACAGGUAAAUGUGAGUUAUUUUAUUGGAUAUAGAUAGAUAUGUAUAUUUUACAGAUGGAGCUCAUUGUUACGUAUGGGCCAUUAAAAAAAAGUCUUGAAAUAAUGUGAAUACUUUUGUUUAUUUUGAUAUGUCAUAUUAUCUUUGUAUUAAAAUAAACAUCUUAUAUUGUUGAAAC